rnacentral:rRNA from 1 species
UGCAAGUCGAGCGGGGUUUUCGGACCUAGCGGCGGACGGGUGAGUAAUGCGUAGGAAGCUGCCCGAUAGAGGGGGAUACCAGUUGGAAACGACUGUUAAUACCGCAUAAUGUCUACGGACCAAAGUGUGGGACCUUCGGGCCACAUGCUAUCGGAUGCGCCUACGUGGGAUUAGCUAGUUGGUGAGGUAAUGGCUCACCAAGGCGACGAUCUCUAGCUGGUUUGAGAGGAUGAUCAGCCACACUGGAACUGAGACACGGUCCAGACUCCUACGGGAGGCAGCAGUGGGGAAUAUUGGACAAUGGGCGCAAGCCUGAUCCAGCCAUGCCGCGUGUGUGAAGAAGGCCUUCGGGUUGUAAAGCACUUUCAGCGAGGAGGAAGGGUGGUGUGUUAAUAGCACAUCAUUUUGACGUUCUCGCA